rnacentral:lncRNA from 1 species
AGGGAGGACCAGCUGAGCUGGGUAAUCAAAGCUCUUCUAAUCGCCGCAGCUCUGGAGAUGUGUUCAAAGGCUCUUUCCUGACCACAGGCUGAGCAAGUCCAGCCUUGCAUGGAGAGGAGGAUAUCUCUGAAGGAAGACAGAAAAAGCAGGAGGAAUGCAAGGACCAAGCUGGAAUUACCCUAGCCCAGAGGCAAAACAUGAAAAUGAAGGUGGACAUACUGAAAUGGUCAGAAACCCACGCCAGAAGUCAGUGCGACGUGGAUGUGCACGGGGCUUCCUAGCCCAUGUUAUGAACAGCCUGCUGCAUGGCCGUCGAAGGAAAUGCUACAGAGUUGAGUCCAGAGAAACAGAGACACAUCAGAAGAUCUUCAUCUCCUUUAAUCUUCGGCUUCAGAAGCUCUACACCAAAUGAGAUAACUAAAGCUUCCUGUAUGAGGCAGCAGUGUGGUCUGGGGAGGAUUACCCUUAAGAUUCUUGUAGGAGUAUGAAGAAUCCUGUCCUUUGGGGGUUCAGAGCCUCUGUAGACCUGGGCCUCUAGUUACACAUCUUGAUGUUUGGGACCAUGAUAGAACCUGAUGACCAUAUAUUUGUGGACUAUAGACAAUUACUUAAACUUCUGUGGAAAAUAAUUUCUGAAUUGGGGAAUGAAAACAUAGAAUUGCAAAGAAACAAAGAGAUAUUAAUUUUUAAAAGAUCAACAUUCAGCAGAAGUAUCAAUCCUGGCUAGAGAAAAAGUACUAUCCUGGUGUGAUGGAAUGAGACGUGAGCAGAAUACUGAACUGGAAUCACAUAGCUUUUGAAUGAAAAUGGCUCAUAUUUGGAUGACUGGCUUAUAUACCCUUAUAAUUACAUCUAGUCCAAAGGCAUGCAUUGAUAUGUGUAGGUGGCCCUUAAAAUAUUUCAUUCACCAGAAAGCGGCUUAGAGAGAACUCUACCCUGCUAUUUCAGUGGUGUUUGAAAUAACUGCAAAAGGUCACAUGUCAUGAAUAAUAGACACAGAGCAACACUUCUUGAAUAAACACGGAGCUGAGACCUCAGUGAUGGUAGGUUUUUCUGGAGGGUAGUGGAAGUAGGACACUGGUAUUAAUAUGGUGACCCCUAGUGUCUCAUGGUGGUAGCACGACUUGGAAUCACACCAGCACCCUGCCCUAAGUAGGGCCUCCCUACAAUCUUCUGCCUGAAGGAGUUAUUGCCCAUCAUGAGUAUUUACGUCAUUAAAACCAUCAUGUUAAGCAAAACCCUCUUCAACUAUAAUGCAUUUUCUUCACAAUAUCC